GUUGGCUGAGGAAACUUGGUGUUUGUACUUUCAGCUGCAGAGCGGAUGGAUGUUCUGUGUUCUUUGUUAUUGUGUAGUUUAUGAAAUAUUUGCUGAAGAAUCAUAAUUGCUCCAUUGAUAAACAAUAACCAUUUUAAGUUUGUAUACAACAAUUUUUAUCUGUUUCAUUUUGAAUAUUUAUGCUCCUUGUGCUCCAUUGAUAUUUUUGAAAUCAUAUUAGAUGUAGUACCGGAUUACUUAGUUGGUAUAACCUCUCUUGCAAUUCCACAUAUGCAUUAAAUGUGAAAUACAUGAUUAAUACUCUAUUAAUUGAUUAGCAUUGUUGGUCCCAUUAACUAAGUUUGUGCCAUUACGGCUAUGAGGUAUUGUCUGAUUUGGGCGUGACAAUUUUCAUGUCUUUGUUUUUUCGAAAAGACGUUUCAUUGAGUUGAUGUCGAUAAGCGAGAUGUGGCCAUGUCUAAUUUCCUUUUCAUUAUAAUUGUAGAUAAGACUAAGGUUGAAGUUGUAAUUCCUUUUGAUUGCUACAAAGAACUUCAAUUACAUGGAAGCAACUCUCAUUUAAGAUCUCCAACAAGACCAAUGACAUCUUCUUCGGACUCAUGGAUGAAGUUAUUUCACUACUAUUAUAAUGAAUGAGUUAUUAAGGUGUUAAGUGUUGGAACAUUGAAGUUAUAAUAUGGGUAUGCACCAAUUGUAGAAUCAAAUGAAGCUAUCCAUCAAUUGUUGGAACAUUAUUAUUCACUGAGUGUGUGAUGUGGGUAUUGGUUCUGGGUUUAUAUGUGUUCUCAAAAAGUUUGAUAAAGUGAAACAAAUAGUUAUACAUUGAAAUCGAAGGGAUUGAUUGUUACUAAUAUAAUGGUUGUUUGUUUAGAAUAUGAUAGAAUGGAUA